rnacentral:rRNA from 1 species
GACGAACGCUGGCGGCGUGCUUAACACAUGCAAGUCGAACGGAAAGGCCCUGCUUUUGUGGGGUGCUCGAGUGGCGAACGGGUGAGUAACACGUGAGUAACCUGCCCUUGACUUUGGGAUAACUUCAGGAAACUGGGGCUAAUACCGGAUAGGAGCUCCUGCUGCCUGUUGGGGGUGGGAGAGUUUCGGCGGUUGGGGAUGGACUCGCGGCUUAUCAGCUUGUUGGUGGGGUAGUGGCUUACCAAGGCUUUGACGGGUAGCCGGCCUGAGAGGGUGACCGGCCACAUUGGGACUGAGAUACGGCACAGACUCCUACGGGAGGCAGCAGUGGAGAAUAUUGCACAAUGGGCGGAAGCCUGAUGCAGCGACGCCGCGUGCGGGAUGACGGCCUUCGGGUUGUAAACCGAUGUCGCCUGUGACGAAGCGUGAGUGACGGUAAUGGGUAAAGAAGCACCGGCUAACUACGUG